GAUAUUUAGAGAUAGAUGAGUCCGCAAGGACACGAAACUAGGUGCUGCAUGGCUGUCGUCAGCUCGUGCCGUGAGGUGUUGGGUUAGGUCCCGCAACGAGCGCAACCCCUAUGUUUAGUUGCCAGCACGUUAUGGUGGGGACUCUAAAUAGACUGCCUGUGCAAACAGAGAGGAAGGAGGGGACGACGUCAAGUCAUCAUGGCCCUUACGUCCGGGGCUACACACGUGCUACAAUGGAUGGUACAGAGGGCAGUAAGCUGGCAACAGCAAGCAAAUCUCCAAAAGCCAUUCACAGUUCGGAUAGAGGUCUGCAACUCGACCUCUUGAAGUUGGAUUCGCUAGUAAUCGUAUAUCAGCAAUGAUACGGUGAAUACGUUCCCGGGUCUUGUCACCACCCGA
rnacentral:rRNA from 1 species